UACAGAGGGUGCAAACGUUGUUCGGAAUUACUGGGCGUAAAGCGCGUGCAGGCGGCCUUGCAAGUCGGACGUGAAAUCCCACGGCUCAACCGUGGAAGUGCAUUCGAAACUGCGAGGCUAGAGUCCUGGAGAGGAAAGUGGAAUACUCGGUGUAGAGGUGAAAUUCGUAGAUAUCGAGUGGAACACCGGUGGCGAAGGCGGCUUUCUGGACAGGUACUGACGCUGAGACGCGAAAGCGUGGGGAGCAAACAGG
rnacentral:rRNA from 1 species